rnacentral:rRNA from 1 species
AACGAACGCUGGCGGCAGGCUUAACACAUGCAAGUCGAACGCUUGUAGCAAUACACGAGUGGCGCACGGGUGAGUAACGCGUGGGCAACCUGCCCCAUAGAGGGGAAUAGCCUUCCGAAAGGAAGAUUAAUACCGCAUAAGAUUGUAGCUUCGCAUGAAGUAGCAAUUAAAGGAGCAAUCCGCUAGGAGAUGGGCCCGCGGCGCAUUAGCUAGUUGGUGAGGUAACGGCUCACCAAGGCGACGAUGCGUAGCCGACCUGCGAGGGUGAUCGGCCACAUUGGGACUGAGACAAGGCCCAGACUCCUACGGGAGGCAGCAGUGGGGAAUAUUGCACAAUGGGGGAAACCCGGAUGCAGCAACGCCGCGUGAGUGAUGACGGCCUUCGGGUUGUAAAGCUCUGUCUUCAGGGACGAUAAUGACGGUACCUGAGGAGGAAGCCACGGCUAACUACGUGCCAGCAGCCGCGGUAA